rnacentral:rRNA from 1 species
UGGGCGCAAGCCUGAUGCAGCCAUGCCGCGUGUGUGAAGAAGGCCUUCGGGUUGUAAAGCACUUUCAGUCGUGAGGAAGGUAGUGUAGUUAAUAGCUGCAUUAUUUGACGUUAGCGACAGAAGAAGCACCGGCUAACUCCGUGCCAGCAGCCGCGGUAAUACGGAGGGUGCGAGCGUUAAUCGGAAUUACUGGGCGUAAAGCGCAUGCAGGUGGUUUGUUAAGUCAGAUGUGAAAGCCCGGGGCUCAACCUCGGAAUAGCAUUUGAAACUGGCAGACUAGAGUACUGUAGAGGGGGGUAGAAUUUCAGGUGUAGCGGUGAAAUGCGUAGAGAUCUGAAGGAAUACCGGUGGCGAAGGCGGCCCCCUGGACAGAUACUGACACUCAGAUGCGAAAGCGUGGGGAGCAAACAGGAUUAGAUACCCUGGUAGUCCACGCCGUAAACGAUGUCUACUUGGAGGUUGUGGCCUUGAGCCGUGGCUUUCGGAGCUAACGCGUUAAGUAGACCGCCUGGGGA